UAUCAGACGAAGAUUUUUAAGUUUAAACGGUUCAACAUUUAGUUAUCGCAAUACAAUGUAGUAUUGAAAUAUCACAAAUAAUGAGUGAAUUAGCGAAUUGUUUCCCUUUGAAAUUUACACACCAUUAACGGUGUAUACAUGUGUGAAACUGGGUCAGAGAAAACAUGUAGUUAUUGCUCUGAAUAUACGCGGAUAUUUAAAGUACAUGGCGGACUUAUUGGUUGUUAUGGGCAACCUCCAGCAGUAUGAGAUAUAAAGGUUCACUGCAGUUUUGACUGUGCUCAACAAGUACUGUACACAUACUAUGCUCAGCAAGUGGAGUUGCUGUGAGUUCUCAUGCAGGUAUAAUAUUUAAAGCUCUCAGAUUUUCUACCUAGUGUAUGAAAAGUACAGUACUGCUGUUGGAAGAGGAGCAUCAUGGCUGUUUUCAUUACAUAUGGCCAAUCAUAUUGGACAAAAUAAGAAAAGUGUUCUAAUAAGGUAAGAAUUUCCAAAAAAUAAAGAAAUAUUUAUCAAGCUCAAAGAACUUGAUGUUGAAAUAUUUAAUUUCACAGUGUGAUCAUACACCAGUUUGGAGAGUCACUGAUUUCCAGUUUAUAAAUAUAAUGUGCAUAAUAUUAUGUAAAUGAAACAUCAUAUCUCCACUGAUAAACAUUGAUUUACAAUCUGAAUAUUGCAUACUUGCAUAACAUAUUGUAUUAAAAAAUUCAACUGUGUAGCUGGUAUUUAAUUGUUGUAAUAAAGUGAUGCUAUGUUAUAUUCUAAGGACUACACUAUUACUACUUAAAAGUUAUUGUCUAAGAAUUCAUUGUUUAAAUAUACACUUAUUUCAGUUCUGGAAUGUGGCUUGUUAUGAUGGGUCUACAUGAUUGACUUGGAGUACAACCUAAUGGAGGCCUGGCUUGCAGAAUUCAGUCCUGAACAUUUUUAGAAUGUCUUCUGCGAGACUUGGUAUAGCAUUCUUGAAGGAUUAUAACUUCAAUACAGAGACAGAGAUUAAUAUUUUAGGCAGGUGAUUGGCAUGAGGCAAACUCUCCAACCCUAUUACCAUUCCUGAGCUGGAUGCCAGUCGACAGUUGUACCUGUAUAAUGAAAUAGCGCCGCUUUGCAGCAACAACAAUGUAUGCUCAAAAUUAGCAGUGCCAAAGCCAUUAAAAUUGAGAACUCAGUCAUGUAAAACAAAAUGAAUGGAAAAGUGUUUAACAUUUAAAGUAAUGCAGAGAAAGAGCUCAGCUCAUUUGGUACUUUCUGAAAUUUUAAUUAACUUGAAAGUGUUUUUGAAUUUUUAAAGGUGUACUAGACCAAAAUUCCAUAUAUAUGAAUAUGAACAAAUGCUACAUUAUGGUGUCAGCAGUAGUAUGCAUUGGUUAAAUAUAGACACACUGUAUGUAUGUAAGGCUGAACAGAGUAUAAAUGUGAAAUUCCUAAAAGACACUGGAAGAUUUUUCAACAAUCUACAGUUUAGUACUGCAUGACAUAAAAUUAUGAAUGGAGCUCUACAUACACAUGAUUUAUACUUUAAGCAAAGUUAAAUAUAUUUAUUGAUCAUCUUGAUGAUUUUCUACAUUUGAAGUGAUUACCUAAAUGUUAAAUAUUUUAGUGAAGAUAUAUUUUAUGCAACUAUAUCAGUUGAAAAAAGGUACCAUCCAGGAAGAAUAUUUUGAAAUGAUACUUUUACUUGAAAAUUUAUGUGAAAAAUGAAGGAAAUAGAUGUUAAAAUGAAUUCUUUAUUUCAUAAAAAAUGUUGUUGUCAUGGAAACAGAACUUGAAUAUUAAGUUUAUCUGCUUUCAUACCAAAGUUAUAUGACUUUUAAUUAUAAUAAUGUUAACAAUUUAAUGUUAUAUAAUCAUCACUCAACUGAUACUUUUGAUUUUCAAUUAACAGUCAUUGAACAAUGCAUCUUAAGGUAGUAGACUGGUCAGGCUUUUUUCACUGCAUACGGUAGUUGUUUUGAAAAAACAACAACACUUCUCGAACCCGCGCAAAGAUGGAAAACAUUACGAAAUUAUUGAAAGAACGGAGAUAGACAGCAAACAAGCACUUAUUUUCGUGUUUUACAGCGUCUUUUCGUGAUUUAAAUUUACGACAUCAUGAAUUACCUCCCUUCACGCGGCAACUGCUUUACAGCGCAGCAGGAAUGUCCAUGUAAACAAAACAAUGUUUUUUUUGAAAGAUGCAAAGAAUAGAAUGAGGGAAGCGAUGAAAGAGAGGCGGAAGGCGGGAGUUCGAGGAAGUGUAACAGAACCUUCGAUUACAACAAUGUCAAUGGAUCUCGAUCUUGUCUACAAGAAGUUGAAUGUGUCACCAGGACAACACACUUUAACACUUGCAGCAUUGAAAGACAAUCAGCAUACAAAGCGUAGACAGUACCAAAGUACAGUGGAAGCCAAACGGUUGAGGAGGCAAAAUAAAGAUAAAAGG